rnacentral:rRNA from 1 species
CCUACGGGAGGCAGCAGUGGGGAAUAUUGCUCAAUGGAAGAAAGCUGACGCAGCAACGCCGCGUGAGGGAUGACGGCCUUCGGGUUGUAAACCUCUUUCAGCAGGGACGAAGCGAGAGUGACGGUACCUGCAGAAGAAGGACCGGCCAACUACGUGCCAGCAGCCGCGGUAAU